UAGCCGUAAACGAUACUCGCUAGGUGUCGGCCACGGUGCGACCGUUGUCGGUGCCGUAGGGAAGCCGUGAAGCGAGCCACCUGGGAAGUACGGCCGCAAGGCUGAAACUUAAAGGAAUUGGCGGGGGAGCACCACAACGGGUGGAGCUUGCGGUUUAAUUGGAUUCAACGCCGGAAAUCUUACCGGGACCGACAGCAACAUGAAGGCCAGGCUGAAGACUUUGCCGGAUUAGCUGAGAGGUGGUGCAUGGCGUAGUCGUGU
rnacentral:rRNA from 1 species